CGCGGCCUAUCAGCUUGUUGGUGGGGUGAUGGCCUACCAAGGCGACGACGGGUAGCCGGCCUGAGAGGGCGACCGGCCACACUGGGACUGAGACACGGCCCAGACUCCUACGGGAGGCAGCAGUGGGGAAUAUUGCACAAUGGGCGGAAGCCUGAUGCAGCGACGCCGCGUGAGGGAUGACGGCCUUCGGGUUGUAAACCUCUUUCAGUAGGGAAGAAGCGAAAGUGACGGUACCUGCAGAAGAAGCGCCGGCUAACUACGUGCCAGCAGCCGCGGUAAUACGUAGGGCGCAAGCGUUAUCCGGAAUUAUUGGGCGUAAAGAGCUCGUAGGCGGUUUGUCGCGUCUGCCGUGAAAGUCCGGGGCUCAACCCCGGAUCUGCGGUGGGUACGGGCAGACUAGAGUGAUGUAGGGGAGACUGGAAUUCCUGGUGUAGCGGUGAAAUGCGCAGAUAUCAGGAGGAACACCGAUGGCGAAGGCGGGUCUCUGGGCAUUAACUGACGCUGAGGAGCGAAAGCAUGGGGAGCGAACAGGAUUAGAUACCCUGGUAGUCCAUGCCGUAAACGUUGGGCACUAGGUGUGGGGGACAUUCCACGUUUUCCGCGCCGUAGCUAACGCAUUAAGUGCCCCGCCUGGGGAGUACGG
rnacentral:rRNA from 1 species